UACGUAGGGUGCGAGCGUUAAUCGGAAUUACUGGGCGUAAAGCGUGCGUAGGCGGUCCGCUGUGUCCCGUGUGAAAGCCCCGGGCUCAACCUGGGAAUUGCAUGGGAAACUGGCGGGCUUGAGUGCGGCAGAGGGGGGUGGAAUUCCGCGUGUAGCAGUGAAAUGCGCAGAUAUCAGGAGGAACACCGGUGGCGAAGGCGGGACUCUGGGCCGAUACUGACGCUGAGGAGCGAAAGCGUGGGGAGCGAACAGG
rnacentral:rRNA from 1 species